UCAGGAUGCUGGUGACAUGAGUGAACAGAAGGAACCAAGCACAGAUUUGUUGGUGGCACUCACCUGUCCUCUUCCCAGCCAGCUUGU
ensembl:miRNA